AUCGGGCUGCUAGUCAAGGUCAA
rnacentral:siRNA from 1 species